rnacentral:rRNA from 1 species
GCUAGUAAUCGCGCAUCAGCCACGGCGCGGUGAAUACGUUCCCGGGCCUUGUACACACCGCCCGUCACACCAUGGGAGCCGGGGGUGCUUGAAGUGCGUCGCCGCAAGGCGCGCCUAGAGCAAAACCGGUGACUGGGGCUAAGUCGUAACAAGGUAGC